rnacentral:rRNA from 1 species
UACAUGGGGUGCAAACGUUGCUCGGAAUCAUUGGGCGUAAAGCGCGCGUAGGCGGUUGCUUAAGUCGGAUGUGAAAGCCCUCGGCUUAACUGAGGAAGUGCAUCCGAAACUGAGCAGCUAGAGUACGAAAGAGGGUCGCGGAAUUCCCGGUGUAGAGGUGAAAUUCGUAGAUAUCGGGAGGAACGCCGGUGGCGAAGGCGGCGACCUGGGUCGAGACUGACGCUGAGGCGCGAAAGCGUGGGGAGCAAACAGG